rnacentral:rRNA from 1 species
AUGAAAUUUAAAAAUUCGGAUGAAGCUUGGGCAUUUUGGCUUAGCUGUGGUGGUCAAAAGGGCUUUGAGGUCCGAAAAAGGUAUACGAACAAAAGGUCCGCAGAUGGCAAGGCGUGCAGCGCGUAUGCCGAGGUGUUCAUCACGAGCGACGACUCGAGGAGGCCGACGAACAGGACGCCUUGGACCGGCAUGGCGGGGGGAGGCCAUGUAGCACGCGUUGCUCUGGUUGCCCUGUAUCCUGGAUGCCGUCGACCACGGGGGCUCCGGCUGCACGUGUUUCCCGGCCGCCUCCGACCAGUGGGGCUCUCGCGAUGUGUUGCUUUGUAUCCCGGCCACCGCGGACAGCGAAGGCUCCCUCUACACGUGUUGCUUCGUUUCCCGGCCGCCGCUGACCACUCCGGCUCCGGCUUCACUUGUUGCUCUACCUCCAUUGCUCCUUUGGCGACGGCGAGGACGUGCCGAGAUCUCAUUCUACCACGACGUAGAACUGGAUUUUUAAAUUUGAGAGGGAGAACGGGAAUUCUAGGGGAACGAGGAGAUUAUUGA